rnacentral:rRNA from 1 species
AGAGUUUGAUCAUGGCUCAGAUUGAACGCUGGCGGCAUGCUUUACACAUGCAAGUCGAACGGUAACAGGCCGCAAGGUGCUGACGAGUGGCGAACGGGUGAGUAAUGCAUCGGAACGUGCCCAGUCGUGGGGGAUAACGCAGCGAAAGCUGCGCUAAUACCGCAUACGAUCUAUGGAUGAAAGCGGGGGACCGUAAGGCCUCGCGCGAUUGGAGCGGCCGAUGUCAGAUUAGGUAGUUGGUGGGGUAAAGGCUCACCAAGCCGACGAUCUGUAGCUGGUCUGAGAGGACGACCAGCCACACUGGGACUGAGACACGGCCCAGACUCCUACGGGAGGCAGCAGUGGGGAAUUUUGGACAAUGGGCGCAAGCCUGAUCCAGCAAUGCCGCGUGCAGGAAGAAGGCCUUCGGGUUGUAAACUGCUUUUGUACGGAACGAAACGGUCCUGGUUAAUACCCGGGGCUAAUGACGGUACCGUAAGAAUAAGCACCGGCUAACUACGUGCCAGCAGCCGCGGUAAUACGUAGGGUGCGAGCGUUAAUCGGAAUUACUGGGCGUAAAGCGUGCGCAGGCGGUCUUGUAAGACAGGCGUGAAAUCCCCGGGCUCAACCUGGGAAUUGCGCUUGUGACUGCAAGGCUGGAGUGCGGCAGAGGGGGAUGGAAUUCCGCGUGUAGCAGUGAAAUGCGUAGAUAUGCGGAGGAACACCGAUGGCGAA